UCCCUGGUGGUCCAGCGGUUAGGACUCCGCGUUUUCACUGCCAAGGACAUGGGUUCAAUCCUUGGCCAGGGAA
rnacentral:tRNA from 1 species